GUACCAUUUAUUUUAAAUGGUGGCACAGAAUCGGAGGCCACGACUGUUUACUAAAAACACAACACAGUGCAAUCAUUAAUGUGGUAGUAUACUGUGUGAAAUUUGCCCAAUGCCAUUAAUAUAAAAGCGGUCAUAGGAAACUGUGACUAAUUGAAAAUCUGGUUAAUAGCGGUCUUAACCAUGAGGAUCCUAAGGUAGCAAAAUAAAUUGGCCAUUAAAUGUGGUCCGGUAUCAAUAAUGUAACGAUGGCCUCACUGUCUCUACAACUUGCUCAGUGAAAUUGAAUUACGCGUGCAGAUGCGCGUUACCUCCAGUGGGACGGGAAGACCCUAU
rnacentral:rRNA from 1 species